rnacentral:rRNA from 1 species
GUGCCAGCCGCCGCGGUAAUACGGAGGGUGCGAGCGUUGUUCGGAAUUAUUGGGCGUAAAGGGCGCGUAGGCGGUUGUGUAAGUCAGAUGUGAAAUACUCCGGCUUAACCGGGGAACUGCGUUUGAAACUACACAGCUAGAGUACAGGAGAGGGAAAUGGAAUUCCCGGUGUAGAGGUGAAAUUCGUAGAUAUCGGGAGGAACACCAGUGGCGAAGGCGAUUUUCUGGCCUGAUACUGACGCUGAGGCGCGAAAGCGUGGGGAGCAAACAGGAUUAGAUACCCUGGUAGUCCACGCUGUAAACUGUGAACACUAGGUGUGGGAGGUGUAAUACCUUCUGUGCCGUAGCUAACGCGUUAAGUGUUCCGCCUGGGAAGUACGGCCGCAAGGUUGAAACUCAAAUGAAUUGACGG